UCUACCCUGUGAACAGCAUCGAGGACACGGGGAGAGGAAAUGAGAGACUGCACAGUAGUGAUAAAACCUUCUCAUAGGCAUCUGAGCUGAAUGAGAUGGAAGCAACAGAUCUGGAUGGUUUAAAUGCUUCUCAUUCCUACAAAACAGAUACUUAACUGGAGUACACUGUCUAAAGGAAGUCCUCAAAAAUGGAAACCAAGUACGUCAGCCACUGAUGACAAAUCAGACACUCCCCAAGGUAUUUUGUGUGUUGUGGCUGAAGUGUAGAGAAGCUAAAAGAAGGACUGAGUGGAAGUUCACAGAAACUGAGAUACACUUUGGCUCUAGUUUCUUUGACCAAGAAUGAAAGCGAUGAGUGACACAUUUAGAGAGCUUUAUAAUCCCAAUUCUUCC